UACGAAGGGUGCAAGCGUUACUCGGAAUUACUGGGCGUAAAGCGUGCGUAGGUGGUUUGUUAAGUCUGAUGUGAAAGCCCUGGGCUCAACCUGGGAGUUGCAUUGGAUACUGGCAGGCUAGAGUGCGGUAGAGGAUGGCGGAAUUCCCGGUGUAGCAGUGAAAUGCGUAGAGAUCGGGAGGAACAUCUGUGGCGAAGGCGGCCAUCUGGACCAGCACUGACACUGAGGCACGAAAGCGUGGGGAGCAAACAGG
rnacentral:rRNA from 1 species